GCCGCGGUAAUACGGAGGAUCCAAGCGUUAUCCGGAAUCAUUGGGCGUAAAGCGUACGCAGGCGGCACGUUAAGUCGGGUGUGAAAGCCCGGGGCUCAACCCCGGAAUUGCAUUCGAUACUGGCGCGCUUGAGUACGGGAGAGGGAAGCGGAAUUCCUGGUGUAGAGGUGAAAUUCGUAGAUAUCAGGAGGAACAUCAGUGGCGAAAGCGGCUUCCUGGCCCGAUACUGACGCUCAUGUACGAAAGCGUGGGGAGCA
rnacentral:rRNA from 1 species